CUAUUUAUAAUAUUUUAGAUUGGCAUAUUUUGUAAUAAAAUAAAAAUGUUGACGGGGCUCUGGAUUAUUUUGAGAGGCUGGUAUCACCCACUCUUAAAUUUCUGUCUAUAAGUUGGGAAUUGCAGUUAUCUUGUCUUGGUAAUAAAUUCGAAAAAAACAAAAACGUUUUGAUUGUGUCUAAACAACUUUAAAUAGUAUAUUUUCAUUUUGCUCAGCGCAUUUGUAGGAACGAUAAGGGUUACACUAAUUUAUCACGAUAAUGUUAAGUAUAGCAAAACAAAUCUGAAAACUUUUUACACAUCAUCAUACAAAUAAAACCACUAAAUUGUUACGAUUCUUUUGUAUAAUUC